UCUUCAAAAUUCCAAUUGAAUUGGGAUCACAGGCUUUUGAAUUAGGUUUCGAAUAUGAUUUACAAAUCGGGGAUUUGGAGAUUAAUUUUUUAUUAGGGUUUUAAUUGAGUAGGUAGGUAGGAGAUUGCAUCAGAAUUUGCGAUUUGGGAUAUUUGAUGUGUGUUUUUUUUUGUUAUUCUGUUAAAAUGUCGGAGAAAAUGUCACGACUGAGAUCGGCGGUGAGCAAGGCGGUGGAGUUUGGCAACAUGACCAACCUCACCCGCACCGUCAGGAACUAAGCCGAAUCCGUCGUCCAGAGCCGGCGCAGAGGGCGCUAAACGGUUCCAGGACCGAAUGGGAGGUCGGAGCUAACUUUGCCAGACGACUUUUGGAAACCAACCCCACCAUUGAAAACCAUGCAAAGACUGCAAGACAAAUCCUGCAAGCUGCCGAAAAGAACAUGACUGAUGCAACCCAGCUAAACUGUGAUUUCAGAAACCCAUUUGUGGUCUGUGGGGCAACAUACGUGCCUAUUUACCGUGGACAGAAGGAUGUGUCAUGCCCAUAUUGCAGUUCUCGGUUUGUUCCGGACCAGGAAGGAAAGCUCUGUACUGUUUGUGAUCUUUCAGCGGUUGGAUCAGAUGCGUCUCGUUUGCUCUGUUCUUCUACCCAGAUCAGGUGAUCUCCUGCUGCUCAAGUGGGAGCAAUUUUUUUAACCUUCAAGUACGACAACGGAUAUGUUAGUUUUCUCAUCUCCUUGAGCAGGGUUUCUAUGUUAAAGAAUGCGAUUUAAUUAGGUUGUGCUUCUCUUGUAUUUCUAUUUCAAAUUUUGUUUCAAGGUUCGUGAUCAAGAUUUUCGAUGUAAUGAACAGGUUGAGCAUUUUGGUCCAGCUGAUUCUUGUGACUUUCGAGAAUAAACAAAUUACAAUAAGUUGGCAAAUUAGUUGCUUUUCCUGAGAUUUGUAGCUGAAAUUUCAUAUAUUGUAGACACCAUUUUCGUGUUAAAACUCGUUUUUGAAUAUCUUGUGUUUGAAAUGUAUGUCUUUUCUCGUG